rnacentral:rRNA from 1 species
CAUAGCGACUAUCGUGGCAUAUCAAUAAGCGGAGGAAAAGAAACUAACAAGGAUUCCCUUAGUAACGGCGAGUGAAGCGGGAAGAGCUCAAAUUUGAAAUCUUCAAGGUUUUACCUUGACGAAUUGUAGUUUAAAGAAGUGUUUUCUGUUGGAGUUUUGGUAAAAGUUCUUUGGAAUAGGACAUCAUAGAGGGUGAGAAUCCCGUAUUUGACCAUUAUUUCCAGCUGUGUGAUACACUUUCAAAGAGUCGGAUUGUUUGGGAAUGCAGCCCAAAAUGGGUGGUAAAUUUCAUCUAAAGCUAAAUAUUGGCGAGAGACCGAUAGCGAACAAGUACCGUGAGGGAAAGAUGAAAAGAACUUUGAAAAGAGAGUUAAACAGUACGUGAAAUUGUCAAAAGGGAAGCGUUUGACACCAGUGUUGUUUUUCCGAAAAUCAAUUACGAAUGUUUUGUUUUUGAGAAGUUAUGACUUCAUCGGCUUGCUUCUCUCUUUACGAAACUUUCUUAAUGCACUUUUCGGUUAACAAGUCAACAUCAAUUUCUUUUGUUGUAAAAGGGUAUGAGGAAGGUGGCUUUCUUUUCGGAGAAAGUGUUUAUAGCCUUGUACCUCUGCAAUCGGAGAGAUUGAGGUCUGCAGCGUAGAUCCUUCGGGGUUAGAUACAUUUGUGCUAAGUUAUAGCUUUUCAUAGACAACUUGUUGACUAUGUUAAGUCUUGUAGCUUACUCGCUUAUGCUAUUUUACCUACGCUUAGGAUGUUGAUAUGCAUGACUGAUAU